ACUUUUCAUCACUUCACACACCCCAAAAUUGUAACCCCUCAUCUCAUCUCUCUCUCGCAACUCGUUCACCACCACCAUCUUCAAAAAAUCAUAUUUGAAACAGGUUGCCAAACAGGGGGUGCCGACCCGUAUGAACUCGCAGCCGUCCUGGAGUUGAUGAACUCACCGUCUCCUUUUCCAUUAAAGUCAGAGAUUUCCAAACAGAUCUCUUUUCUAUCUCUCUCUCAUCUAUCGAAAACCAGAUCUCUCUCUAUCUCUCUCUUACUCACUUACCGGUGGUGGUGGUUUUUAUGACUGGUUGUGAUGGUGUGUGGCGGAGGUGGGGGUGACGGUGUUGGUGGUGGUGGUGUUGGGGUUUGGCGGCAGCGUUGGGGUUUGGUGAGGUAGAGGUGGGGGUAAUGGUGGUUCCGAUGGGGUUUUGUUGUUCUUCCAUAUGAAGCUCUUGUUUCGUGUUGUGGAAAGAUGGAAUUACAGGGCGAGUCUGAAGAAUGGGAAACUUUGUUUGAUCUUUUGUGCCGAUUUCUUAUAUCAUCAAUUGGUUUUGUGUUUGGUUCUGUUGAGAUUCAUACAUCAGUUGGUUUGUGUUUGUCUGUGUUGAGAUCCAUACAUUUUUUUAUUGGCAGUGAUAGUUCGAAACAAGUUUUCCGACAAUUGAUUACCAUGGCGUGGCAAGGAUGGUGGAGGGUAGGUUUUUGAACCUGCAACCCCACUUUGCAGCCAUGAUUAUUGUAAACUUUGAGCCAAACCCCGUUUUUUUCAAGAUCCACACAUGGUUUUGAUUUUUGUUGUUGGUUUUUAUAUUUUUAUUUUCAAUCCAUGAUGAUAAAUUCAACUUAUCUGAGACACCUACUGAGUCGUUAUUUUUGGGUGAGUUCGUUUGUUAAGAUUCUCAAAUUUCGUAAACCCGAAAUCGGGGUCGGGGCGUAAAAAGAUGUUUGGCGUAAUUUUUUUUUUGUUUUUUGUAAAAAAAAAUUGUAAAGAAGUUUUUGUAAAUUUAUUUUUGUUUGGCGUAUUUUUUUUUGUUUUUUGUAAAAAAGUUUAAACCUGUAAAAAAAUUGUAAAAAAAUCUAAAAAAAAUUGUUUUUUUUUUGUAAAAAAAAUUGUUUUUUUUUUGUAAAAAAAUAUGUUUUUUGUAAAAACGUUUAAAACCGUAAAAAAAAUUAAACCCGUAAAAAAUGUUUUAAAACCAGGUAGUAAAAAAAGUUUAAACCGGUUCGUAAAAAUGUUUUAAAACCGGGUUGCAAAAAAAAUUUAAACCCGUAAAAAAUUGGUUUUUUUUUUUUGUAAAAAUUCUGAUUUGUAUACCCGUAAAAAAUUGUUUUUAUGUAAAAAGUUUAAACCCAUAAAAAAUUGUCGUAAAAAAAAGUGUUUGUCGUAAAAAAUAUGCUUUUGUAAAAAAAUCUAUAAAAAGUUUUUUUUUUAUAAAAAAAAUCUGAUUUGUUAAAUAUUAAUAACCAGAUAAGACAAAAACACUUUUUUAAAUCAAAAAAUCAGAUUUUGUAAAGUAUUAAAAUAUUAAUAACAAAUAAGUCAAAAAAUAGAAAAAUGACCAAAUUACCCUUAUGACAAUAAAAUACUAAAAACAUAAUAAGACAAAAAGAAUUUAAUAUUGGUUUUAAUCAGUUUUAAUCUCAACCAUCCAUCUCAAAAAAUCAAUGGUGGAAAAGUGACUCUCACUGUUUUUGCAACUAGGAGUGGUUUUCAUUUUAACUCAUCCCUAUUUAUAUAUAGGGUUAGGUUCAUUAGUAAACAACCCCCUUGAUUGUGAACACUAAUGAACUAAUCCUAACUCUUGAUUAUGAGUACACAAGUGUAUACACAAGUGUAAAACAAUGGCCAAGAGUUAAUGAUGAAAAUACACUUGUGUAUUUUACGAUUCUUGGAAGAAGAAGAAGAAGAAGUGGGGAACUAGUGUGAUAGCUCCCUGUCCAGAGUGAUCCAUCAGGCAUGAGAUAUGGAUUUGGGUCAGGAUUAGGUAUUGCUCGGCUAAUACUUAGAGAUGUGGUGGUGCACAACAGAGGAGGCAUAGCGGAGAGUGUAACUUCCGGUUCAUCAUAAGAUAAAUGUACCCUAACUCCUAUGGUUCGUUCCUCUCAAACAUACCCGUUCAAGAGCUCCCUCAACUUUAUAAAGUUGCUCCUCACUCCCUUCGGGUUUAUUCCAUGGUUUCAACCGGGAAGAGUACUUUACUCGGUGAAGAUGGAACAGCCCGUGUAAAGGGAGGUGUCUGAAAGUGUUGUGCAUCUUGUGUUGCCGGUGUGACCUGAAGUCUGUCCGUGUUGGUGGAGCAGCUGCCUACUCCGGGAGUAGCCGGAGGGCUAGACGGGGGCAAGGAACUGCUCGAAACUUCCUUCGGAUGAUGAUCCUUUCCGGCCAUAAAAGAGGUGAUAACUUAGGAACAGGGCUGGACUACCGGAAAAUACUGUUCUAAGUAGCGCAGCCCCAUGGUGGGUGCCACUUGUUAAAGCAACAAGAGUAUGGCAGGGGGAAGGUCCAGGAUCAACUCCAAAAGAUAGCUCCUUAGUCGGAAUUUGCAAUCUAAGAACACCGUUAGUCUUUACGCGAGAGGUGGCCUCCCGCGUUUGAACUCCAGCGUGAGGAUCAGUGGAUUGUUCUAAAGAGUCUUAGCGAAAUGAUAGGAUACGAGUUUAGAGUAAGAAUGAGAGAAGUGAACUUACUUUGGGCUGAACAAGACUCCCCUUUUAUAGACAGAUUGCUCUGCCUAAGGGAGCCUUGUGCCAACUUAUACCUUCUAGUCUUGGUAUGCUUAUAUUCCCUUGACGUUGCUUGCAGGGUUAACCUUGCCACUUUGGGUAAAAUCCAGGUUAGUGUGUCUCGAGGACACCUUUAUGUGUUUUAGGAAGAAGUCUAAUUUAUUUAACCUGUUGGGUUCAAGUUCCAAUGUUGUACAGUAAGUAUAGAUUUCUGUCACCAGCUAUUGAUGUACCAGCUUCUCGUCGUGAGCUUCCAGCUUCCGACUUUCAGCUUCUUAUUUUCAGUUUAAGUUUAUAAUUCUUUGUUGCUUAUUUGUGAUUGUUAUUAACCUUUGUUUUGUUGAA